UGGGGAAUUGUUCGCAAUGGGCGCAAGCCUGACGACGCAACGCCGCGUGGAGGAUGAAGACCUUCGGGUCGUAAACUCCUUUCGACCGAGAUGAACGCCCCGCGACCUAACACGUCGCGGGAGUGACAGUAUCGAGGGAAGAAGCCCCGGCUAACUCUGUGCCAGCAGCCGCGGUAAUACAGGGGGGGCGAGCGUUGUUCGGAAUUACUGGGCGUAAAGGGUUCGUAGGUGGCCGGCUAAGUCAUACGUGAAAUCCCUCAGCUUAACUGGGGAACUGCGUCAGAUACUGGUCGGCUUGAGUGCGGGAGAGGAACGCGGAAUUCCAGGUGUAGCGGUGAAAUGCGUAGAUAUCUGGAGGAACACCGGGUGCGGAAGGCGGCGUUCUGGACUGCAACUGACACUGAGGAACGAAAGCCGAGGGGAGCGAAACGGGGAUUAGAUACCCCGGUAGUCCUGGCCCUAACGAUGAAUGCUUGGUGUGGC
rnacentral:rRNA from 1 species